GUCAGAGUGGCGAAAUCGGUAGACGCAGCGGACUUAAACUCCGCCGACCCUUAAACGGUCGUACGGGUUCGAGUCCCGUCUCUGACACCA
rnacentral:tRNA from 1 species